rnacentral:misc_RNA from 1 species
GAUGAAGAACGCAGCGAAAUGCGAUAAGUAAUGUGAAUUGCAGAAUUCAGUGAAUCAUCGAAUCUUUGAACGCACAUUGCGCCCGCCAGUAUUCUGGCGGGCAUGCCUGUCCGAGCGUCAUUUCAACCCUCGGGCACCCCUCUGCGGGCGGCCCGGCGUUGGGGCUCAGGCGCCGUCUCUGCUCGGCGCCUGUCCCCUAAAUGCAGUGGCGGCCUCGCCGCUGCCUCCUCCGCGUAGUAGCACAAACCUCGCGGCUGGAAGGCGGCGCGGCCACGCCGUAAAACCCCCCAACUUUACCAAGGUUGACCUCGGAUCAGGUAGGAAUACCCGCUGAACUUAAGCAUAUCAAUAAGCGGAGGA